rnacentral:rRNA from 1 species
AUACGUAGGUGCCAAGCGUUAUCCGGAUUUACUGGGUGUAAAGGGCGUGUAGGCGGUUUGGCAAGUCAGAAGUGAAAUUCCCGGGCUUAACUUGGGCGCUGCUUCUGAAACUGCUUAACUUGAGUGCUGGAGAGGAUAGUGGAAUUCCUAGUGUAGCGGUAAAAUGCGCAGAUAUUAGGAGGAACACCGGUGGCGAAGGCGGCUAUCUGGACAGUAACUGACGCUGAGGCGCGAAAGCACGGGGAGCAAACAGGAUUAGAUACCCUGGUAGUCCGUGCCGUAAACGAUGAAUACUAGGUGUAGGGGGUAUCGACUCCCUCUGUGCCGCAGUUAACACAUUAAGUAUUCCACCUGGGGAGUACGGCCGCAAGGUUGAAACUCAAAGGAAUUGACGGG